rnacentral:ncRNA from 2 species
GGUCAUGAGUGCCAGUGACAAGCCCCGGCUCGCUGGUCGGCAACCCUCCUCCGCGGUGGGGUGCUCCGGGUGACGACCCGGUCGACCCUUCGCCCGCGGUGGCGGUGGUCGGCAAGCGCGGACC